CCCUGAUGAACCAAAUUAUCUAAGGUUUGUCAACAUAACUCAGAUCUAAGAAGAAAAAGUUAGACUAAUUAUGUGUCCUAAGAAUCUUACUGAUGUGACUUUCUUGUAUAUUUGUGCUGGGUUGGAGCACUCGCUGUAUGGAAACUCUGAGAGGGAGACAGAAACAAUGCCUAUGACACUGUGGGCGUGUUGAGAGCCACGAAGGAUUGCCGCGAAGCCUAAAUCGCCAAUCUUGACCUGCCCCAGAUGGCCAUUGACAAAGAUAUUAUCACACUUGAGGUCUCUAUGUAUCACAGGCGGAUCGUGGCAGUGCAAAUACUCCAAGCCCCUAAGAAUUUGACGAGCCCAGUUCUUCACAGCUCGAAUAUCGACUCCAUGGUACUUCUGCCUAUACCUGUAUAUGUUUAACCUCAUGAUAAGAUAACGCAAUGAACACAGAUAGUUCAUCUGUUCAUGAUGAAUCUAUGUCAAAGAGUAUAACAAUAAGAGAUGGUGGAUUACUCUCGAAGCGUGCCGGAGGUGAAGAGUUCAGUGAUGAAGUUGAAGGUUCUGUGGUGGACAUCGAUCCACGAAGCAUGGAAGGUCAUGAUAGAGUCAUGAUCAAGGUUCUUGAGAAGAUGAACCUCUGAAUAAAGGCGUUGUAGCUCAUCUGGGGAAUGAAACACAUCUCCAAGCUUGACUUGGUUCCAAGCCACUUCCAUUCCUAACACCUCAUCAAAUGCUCUAUACACAAUCUUCAUCGCCCCUUUCCCCAGAACAUCCCUGAACUACUUGUACCAAUAAUCACAAAAAAACACAGUUAUUAUUAACACACUGAUUAUUGUCUAAAAUACACAAUUAUAUAUCAUUAAUUAACACCAACAAGUAAUAUGUUUCACACAUUCAGUUUCCAUCUCUUGGAGUGACUCUUGGCUCUUGGAGAGCCAGAGGGUUGACCUUGCGUGAGAAAGUGAGGAAGACAUGUCAUGUGAACAAGUCUUGUUAUGUCAUGCCCACUAGGCAAUAUCGUGCUUGAUUUUUCUUCAUUAAAAAAAUAGAUAAAGAAGAAAAGAGGUCGACUUUUCUCUUUGAUUA